CCUACGGGUGGCAGCAGUGAGGAAUAUUGGUCAAUGGACGGAAGUCUGAACCAGCCAUGCCGCGUGCAGGAAGACGGCUCUAUGAGUUGUAAACUGCUUUUGUACAAGGGUAAACCUGAAUACGUGUAUUCCGCUGAAAGUACUGUACGAAUAAGGAUCGGCUAACUCCGUGCCAGCAGCCGCGGUAAGACGGAGGAUCCAAGCGUUAUCCGGAUUUAUUGGGGUUAAAGGGUGCGUAGGCGGAUUGAUAAGUUGGAGGUGAAAUUUCCGGGCUUAACUCGGGAACUGCCUCUAAUACUGUUGAUCUAGAGAGUAGAUGCGGUAGGCGGAAUGUAUGGUGUAGCGGUGAAAUGCUUAGAGAUCAUACAGAACACCGAUUGCGAAGGCAGCUUACCAAUCUAUAUCUGACGUUGAGGCACGAAAGCGUGGGGAGCAAACAGGAUUAUAUACCCUAGUAGUC
rnacentral:rRNA from 1 species